UUUUGUGUAGGACUAUGUGUGUGUAUGUUUGUCAGUGUGUGUGUGUGUGUGUGUGUGUGUGUGUGUGUAUGUCCACAUGGCCGCAUCUUGGAUCUCACCCCAGCUUGUGAUGCCUUGGCUCAGACAGACAGACAUACAGACGAGUGGGCAGCAUGAAGAAGAGCUUGUAAAUCCACAGAGAGAAAGCCAGAAAUUAAGGAAGGAAGGGAGGAAGGAAGAGGGGAAGGAAGGAAGAGGGAUAUUGGAUUAAUUACGUCUUGAUGUGUUUAGCGAUUCCUGGUUGAUCCGUAAGCUAAGGCGGAUGUUAUAGCUGUUAUAGGUUAGGCGGAUGUUAUAGCUGUUAUAGGUUAGGCGGAUGUUAUAGCUGUUAUAGGUUAGGCGGAUGUUAUAGCUGUUAUAGGUUAGGCGGAUGUUAUAGCUGUUAUAGGUUAGGCGGAUGUUAUAGCUGUUAUAGGUUAGGCGGAUGUUAUAGCUGUUAUAGGUUAGGCGGAUGUUAUAGCUGUUAUAGGUUAGGCGGAUGUUAUAGCUGUUAUAGGUUAGGCGGGUGUUAUAGCUGUUAUAGGUUAGGCGGGUGUUAUAGCUGUUAUAGGUUAGGCGGGUGUUAUAGCUG